UACAUACAUCAGGAAAAAACUAAUAGUAUGUGAAGCAUAACCUCCCAAAAGAGGAAAGGGAAAAAGAUAGGGUAAAAGACACUUUGAUAUACUGCUAAGCACGAAGGAGCUACAGAGAAAUAGUCUCCCACACUCCCCCCACCCACCCCUCUUUCUCUCUCUCAAGACUGAAUAAUCAGCAAAUUUCUCUUCCAGUAGAAGGCAGAAAUGCUGAGAUUUAACUUGACUUACUGGACUGAGGAGGAUGCACUGGUUUAGAAAUGGCACUAAAGGAAAACUAUGGGAAUAGAUAAACGUAGGUAACCUUAGAAAUCAUACUAGAUACUCAAAAUCAUUUCUAUUUUUGUUUUUGGUAGGUCUUCCAGAAUUGAUAGGGGCCCUUUCUGAAGGGAAAGACUGAAUCCAAAGACUGACGACAGGAACCCUAACAUUAAAGGCUGUGAUUGGCUGAUGCGCCUCUGCUGUGGAUUCCGGAUGAUGUAGGACGACUGAGACGGGCUGGAGCUGUAAGGAAUCAGGUCAUGAGCAUCCUGCUGCCACACACGGCUAGACCUUGACGCUUCCCAGUGUUAUUCAAUGUGAUUCACUGGCUAGGAUGCUAUUUUGAAACUUCUUCUUGCAAACCGGCAAUAAUUAAUCUACGGUCUAUCCGAAAAUAUGAAUCCCAGAGAAAUUAUUUGACCACAGAGAUUUUUUUAACUGAUAAAACUCAGAAUUAUUUUUACUCUUUAGGAAGUCACUUCCGAUUUGCGUUAGUGCACAUACUUUUCUGAGUCCUUUCCACUAAGAUAUUUCUUCAGGGAAGAUGUUUUUCUUUUCCAUUGCAUUUAACACCAGUAGUCUUCAACUUUCGAAGGCUCCGAGAGCAGCAUUUAUCCACUAAUGAGAAAGUGUGCUUCCUACCUUUAACAGACCUGACUACCAUGACCUACUUUGCACCGGCUUAUUAACCACUGACUUGCUGAUGGGUGUGGGGAAGAAAAGAAGUUCAAAAGUAUGAUUUUAAAAUAGAAUCGUAACAAAAGAUGGGGUGCCCAAAUUGUUGUACUCCCCUAAAAAUCGGACUUGGGAGCAGCCAAGAAAGGACAGAUUCCUCCAAUAUAAAACAAAAGGAAGAACCAGAGAACGCAGUUUAAAAUGAAGGUCAGAGAUCAGAAGAUGGUUGUAAAACAACCCUGUGACCUCUUAUUCUUUGUUUACAAAUUAAGAAACAGACUAAAAGACAUUAAAGGUUCUUUAAGAGUU